GUCUGCGGCCUAUCAGGUAGUAGUGGGUGUAGCGUACCUACUAGCCUACGACGGGUACGGGUUGUGAGAGCAAGAGCCCGGAGAUGGAUUCUGAGACACGAAUCCAGGCCCUACGGGGUGCAGCAGGCGCGAAAACUUUACAAUGCUGGCAACAGCGAUAAGGGAACCUCGAGUGCCAGGUUACAAAUCUGGCUGUCGUGAUGCCUAAAAAGCAUUGCAUAGCAAGGGCCGGGCAAGACCGGUGCCAGCCGCCGCGGUAACACCGGCGGCUCGAGUGGUAACCGUUAUUAUUGGGUCUAAAGGGUCUGUAGCCGGCCGGAUAAGUCUCUUGGGAAAUCUGGCAGCUCAACUGUCAGGCUUUCAGGAGAUACUGUCUGGCUCGAGGCCGGGAGAGGUGAGAGGUACUUCAGGGGUAGGGGUGAAAUCUUGUAAUCCUUGAAGGACCACCAGUGGCGAAGGCGUCUCACCAGAACGGACCUGACGGCAAGGGACGAAAGCUAGGGGCACGAACCGGAUUAGAUACCCGGGUAGUCCUAGCCGUAAACGAUACUCGCUAGGUGUCGGCCACGGUGCGACCGUUGUCGGUGCCGUAGGGAAGCCGUGAAGCGAGC
rnacentral:rRNA from 1 species